AACAAAAACAAAACAAAGUGCGAUUAGUAUGCUAAAACAGAGCCAAGGGAAAAAAGUGUAAAUGUAAUUGAUACUAUUUAUGAUAAGAAUAGACAACUAAUUUAUUGUUUUAUCAAAACUUUCAGUUAUUUGUCUAUUUUAAUGUUCGUGUUCGUCAGUUUGGAAUUUUCAUUAAUCCGAGAUUCAGUCCAAAUCUGAUUGAAUUUUCAUCAGCAAGUGGCAAGACAUUGUCUUCGUAGAGAGAAAUGAUUUGAUAUUUUUGGACGCUUUAUGGAGUUGAUGUUCUACAGAUUUUAUUUUAUUUGACAUGUUGGCUGGAUCAACAACAUAAACGACAACAUUUUAUGAUUGGAUAGCAUUUACAUUAUCGCGUCAAGUCUUGGGGAUUUUGGUUCUUUAGUGUCUUUUAAAGCACUCACUUCAAUAUUAACAAUGGAUAACAAUAUGCCUGAAUCAGCAUUUUCGACGUCUUCACGUAACGUGAAAUACAUAGUUUCACUGGCCGUUUAUUACAGUAAUUUCGUUUUGGGAGUUUGCAUAACAUUUCUUAGUCCACUGGUUCUGGAACUUACGAACAUCUUUGAUUCAACAGUGGAUCAAGUGUCCGAGGUUUUUACAAUUAUUUUGUUUUGCUAUCUCGCAAGUGCAUUGGUCUGUACACUAAUAUUCAAAUGUGUUAACCGGCAGUUAGUUGUCCUGCUGCUGCUUUCACUGAUUACUUCAUCAUUCUUUUUGAUACCAUCAGCCACCAAUUUGACCGAAUUUUUUGUGUAUAGCAGUUUAAUAGGUCUGGGUGGCGGUGGUUAUGAUACCGCCCAAGUGGCCUGGAUUAUUGAUAUAUGGAGAGAUGAAUCGCCACCGUGGAUCUUGACUCAACAUUUCGCCUACUCACUGGGAACCAGGGACUAACGUAAGGAUUUUCCCGUGGGUGGGAUUUCGACGAAAAGGCGCAAAAAUGACUUCCUAAUUCUUACUUAGAGGCGCCAAAAACAAUGAUUAAAAAAAGUCGAAUUUUUCCUAGGGAGAUUUGAAACACAUUUUCCUUCCACUUCUGAGCCCUUCUUCUGGUGAAAAAGCCCGCGUUUGUUUUGUUGUCAUUUAAUUUGAUUUCCUAUUUUGCAGAAUAAUUUGAGAUCUUACCAAUGGCAUGCAAUUUCUUGAUAAUUUUGCCAUUUGGCAAAACAGAUUUGCAGUAAUCAUCUGCGAAAAAAUUCUUUUCACAAAGAACGUGACUUACGUUACAAUCAAAUCUGAAGUGAAUAUGUAAUAAAGGGUAGCACUCAGCACGCUUCCUUGUGGGACUACUGCUAGGAUAUGAGCUAGAUAUCCUAGAUUUCUGACAAUAUGGUACAAAGACCGUUUUUGUGGAAAUGAUUGAACAAUUUUAAUAAGAUAGAAAGGAAACUUUCGAAGGAACAUUUUGUGUAUUAGACUCUUAUGCCAUGCACUAUCAGAGGCCUUCUCUAUGUCAAAUGUGAACAAUCCUGCAGAGUUUUUCUUAUUUAGAGCUUGUUGGAUAUGAUUACCUAAGAUUUUGCUGAUGGAGUUUGGCAGGCUAAUUGGUCUGUAGUUGCUAGCACCUGAUGUAUCCUUAAGGAAUGAAGACUGCUUUUGCAAUUGCUAACCAGCCUAGUAAUUUUCCACAGUUGGUUAGAGUAUUUUUUCAACUGUGAAAGUCAGUCGUUCCACAUUUCCUUAUUGAAGAAUUUAAAUUGAGCUUUGAUCAAUAUGUUCAGAUGGUUAAUUUUCUUGUCAAUGCUGAGGACAUGGUUUCGCUGCCACUGUCGAUUUUUGUAAUUUCUAACUGAUAUUAACUUUAAUAUCAUGUUGUCUAGAGUCGGCGAGUGGUCGACAGUCUUGUACACAGGAAUUCUUAAUCAAAUCAUCAAUUAACGACUUGGAAUUUAAGUGGUACGGAUCUGUCGACCACCUGACUGUUAAAAUCAAAGUACUUUUUACGUUUUUGUAAAAAUUUAUAGUGUGGUCAAAAUUGAAUUCGUGGAUGGGAAUUCAAAAGGCGCGGGUGGGAAAAUUCCCACCCACGAUGUUCCUUAGGUUAGUCCCUGCUGGGAACGCUGGCACCGCCCAUAAUUCUGGCCAACUUCCUAACGAACGGCGAUUCAACUGACAAAUUAGAACCUACAACCGCACGUGACAUUCGCACUCCGUUUUACAUCGCUGGAUCUUUGGCCAUAACUGCGGUGGUCAUAAACGCAAUCAUUUAUCUUACAUUCAGAAAGAGAACACCAGUGGUGGUCGUUACGAGCAACAUUCAAGAACCAAUAAUUGUUGACACUUCUUGGGAACGUGAAAGCAUUGACAGCAGAUCGAGUUCGUCUGGCGUAUCCGUAACAACGGCCCUAAUAUCUCGGAAUCGUGACUCGUCAAAACGGCGGAUUUACAUUAUCGGACUAUGUUGUGGUGUGAUUGGAUUCUAUUCGGCACUAGAACUAUGUACGCAACAGUUUUUACCCACCUACACUCAUUUCUCUCCCAUGAAACUAUCACCAACUGAAGCAGCAAAAGUGUUAUUCGGUCUUCAGCUCGGAUUCACUAUUGGUCGGCUAGUCGGAAUUUUGCUCAUUCUGAGAAUCCAGCCUCAUUUCAUAUUUGCUGGCAAUUUGAUUUUACUGGCCAUUUCCAAUACAAUUUUAUACAUUUGGGGUGGAUCGUCAAUGACAAUGUUAUGGGUGGGAAGUGUUAUGAUCGGCGUCGGAAUGUCCACAGUAUAUCCAUCACUGUAUGCUUACAUUGAAAAGUAUUUAUUCAUAACAGAGUCUGUAUCAGGAGUCAUAACAGUAGCUGGAAGUUGUAUGUCGGCUAUAUAUCCACUCAUUGUAGGGAAUUCUAUUGAAACAAAUCCGGAAAUUUUGAUGUAUGUUAAUUAUGCGAGUAUUUGUGUCUCGUCUGUUGCAUUUUCGUUACUAUUUUCUAUGACUUAUGUACGAACGAGGAUGGGAUAUACAAGAAUAUA